rnacentral:rRNA from 1 species
CCUACGGGAGGCAGCAGUGAGGAAUAUUGGUCAAUGGCCGGAAGGCUGAACCAGCCAAGUCGCGUGAGGGAAUAAGGCCCUAUGGGUCGUAAACCUCUUUUGUCAGGGAGCAAAGGCGUCCACGCGUGGACGGGAGGAGAGUACCAGAAGAAAAAGCCUGGGACAACACCGGGCCAGCAGCCGCGGUAAUACGGAGGAUGCGAGCGGUAUCCGGUGUUAUUGGGUUAAAAGGGUGCGUAGGCGGAGUGUCAAGUCAGCGGUAAAAUUUCGGGGCUCAACCCCGUCGUGCCGUUGAAACUGACGCCCUUGAGUAAGUGAGAAGUAAGCGGAAUGCGUGGUGUAGCGGUGAAAUGCAUAGAUAUCACGCAGAACGCCGAUUGCGAAGGCAGCUUACCGGCGCUCAACUGACGCUGAGGCACGAAAGUGCGGGUAUCGAACAGGAUUAGAUACCCCUGUAGUC